rnacentral:rRNA from 1 species
GAUGAACGCUGGCGGCGUGCCUAAUACAUGCAAGUCGAGCGAAUGGAUUAAGAGCUUGCUCUUAUGAAGUUAGCGGCGGACGGGUGAGUAACACGUGGGUAACCUGCCGCUAAGACUGGGAUAACUCCGGGAAACCGGGGCUAAUACCGGAUAACAUUUUGAACCGAAUGGUUCGAAAUUGAAAGGCGGCUUCGGCUGUCACUCAUGGAUGGAUCCGCGUCUCAUCAGCUAGUUGGUGAGGUAACGGCUCACCAAGGCAACGAUGCGUAGCCGACCUGAGAGGGUGAUCGGCCACACUGGGACUGAGACACGGCCCAGACUCCUACGGGAGGCAGCAGUAGGGAAUCGUCCGCAAUGGACGAAAGUCUGACGGAGCAACGCCGCGUGAGUGAUGAAGGCUUUCGGGUCGUAAAACUCUGUUGUUAGGGAAGAACAAGUGCUAGUUGAAUAAGCUGACACCUUGACGGUACCUAACCAGAAAGCCACGGCUAACUACGUGCCAGCCGCCGCAGUAA